rnacentral:rRNA from 1 species
AUGGCGACUGCGGGAGCUCGACCCGCCAUGGCCGUCUUCCUCCUCGCCGCGGUCUCGGCCUGCCACACCGCGUCAUGCCUGGUUCGGCGCACGGGCUUCGAUGCUGCCGGGUGUCAGCCCAGUGGCUACCUCCCGGGCAGGUCCGGCAACUGCGAGAUGAGCAACAGCCCGGACUGCUGCGUCGACGGCAGGCAGUACGUGCAGUUCCUCUGCUCGCCGCCGGUGUCCGCGACCACGCCGGCCGUUCUGACGCUCAAUAGCUUCCAGAAGGGCAAGGACGGAGGCCAUCCGUCCGAGUGCGACAACGCGUACCACGACGACUCGGAGAUGGUCGUCGCCCUCUCCACCGGCUGGUUCAAUGGCAUGUCCCGCUGCGGCCGCACCGUCAUGAUUACCGCGAAGGGUGGCAGCUCAGUGAGCGCAAAGGUGGUGGACGAGUGCGACUCCGUCCACGGUUGUGAUGCCGAGCACAACUACGAGGAGCCAUGCGUCAACAACGUCGUAGACGCCUCACCGGCGGUGUGGGGCGCCCUGGGUCUGGACCAGAACAUCGGUAUUCAGGAUGUUACCUGGUCUGAUGAGUAA